AAUCCCGCGCGGCUCAGAGAUGGGUUUCUGGACUCGCGAAGCAGCUGCAACAAGGCAUCACUCACUGUAUAAGUAUUUCCAUUUCUGAGAGCAAAAGGAAGAACUUAAGCGGGCGGCACUUGGAGUGUAAAUUGCUUUGUAGUAUUUAAAGGCAGAAUGGAUCCUGGGCAGCCGAGCUGGUACGUGCAACAGAAACUACUCAAUGGAAUUGUUCUGGGUAGGACUGGUCUGAUCGUCCUUUGUGUACCAAACGUUGUGUGUCCUGGAUUGCGCCUAUGUGUAUACACCCAUUUCAUGUUCACCAGGAUCAUGGGGACUUGGGAGUCACAAUCUUUCAUUUUUCCAAAAUGAUACAAUAAAAGCUUUACGGAACAUUGUUUAUUAAUAGAAAUGUGACCCGAGUCACAGUCUUAAGAAACACAUGAUAAUGAUAGAAAAAUACUUUUAUGUUUCUUUGUUAGAGAAAAAGAAAGUAAACCUAAACUGUAUCACUGUGCAGUGUUACUAGAUAUGACUUAAAAGACAAUGGCAAAAAA
rnacentral:lncRNA from 10 species